AUUGAACGCUGGCGGCAUGCUUUACACAUGCAAGUCGAACGGCAGCGCGGGCUUCGGCCUGGCGGCGAGUGGCGAACGGGUGAGUAAUGCAUCGGAACGUGCCCAGUAGUGGGGGAUAGCCCAGCGAAAGCCGGAUUAAUACCGCAUACGACCUGAGGGUGAAAGCGGGGGACCGAAAGGCCUCGCGCUAUUGGAGCGGCCGAUGUCGGAUUAGCUAGUUGGUGGGGUAAAGGCUUACCAAGGCGACGAUCCGUAGCUGGUCUGAGAGGACGACCAGCCACACUGGGACAGAGACGCGGCCCAGACUCCUACGGGAGGCAGCAGUGGGGAAUUUUGGACAAGGGGGGCAACCCUGAUCCAGCCAUGCCGCGUGCGGGAAGAAGGCCGUCGGGUUGUAAACCGCUUUUGGUCGGGAAGAAAUCCUCUGGGCUAAUACCCCGGGGGGAUGACGGUACCGGAAGAAUAAGCACCGGCUAACUACG
rnacentral:rRNA from 1 species